GAGUUUGAUCCUGGCUCAGGAUGAACGCUGGCGGCGUGCCUAAUACAUGCAAGUCGAGCGAACAGAUAAGGAGCUUGCUCCUUUGACGUUAGCGGCGGACGGGUGAGUAACACGUGGGUAACCUACCUAUAAGACUGGGAUAACUCCGGGAAACCGGGGCUAAUACCGGAUAAUAUUUAGAACCGCAUGGUUCUAAAGUGAAAGAUGGCCUGCAUCACUUAUAGAUGGACCCGCGCCGUAUAAAAAGUUGGUAAGGUAACGGCUUACCAAGGCAACGAUACGUAGCCGCCUGAGAGGGUGAUCG
rnacentral:rRNA from 1 species